rfam:Schistosoma margrebowiei strain Zambia genome assembly, scaffold: SMRZ_scaffold0004412
AUUCAACUGACGAGUCCCAAAUAAGGCGAAACACGAGUUCUGUAU